rnacentral:rRNA from 1 species
UACGUAGGGGGCAAGCGUUGUCCGGAUUUAUUGGGCGUAAAGAGCGUGUAGGCGGCCAGACAGGUCAGCUGUGAAAACUCGAGGCUCAACCUCGAGACGUCGGUUGAAACCGUCUGGCUAGAGUCCGGAAGAGGAGAGUGGAAUUCCCGGUGUAGCGGUGAAAUGCGCAGAUAUCGGGAGGAACACCGGUGGCGAAGGCGGUUCUCUGGGACGGUACUGACGCUGAGACGCGAAAGCGUGGGGAGCGAACAGG